UUAGCUCAAUUUAUACAUGCAAGUAUCUGCAUCCCUGUUGAGAAUGCCCUCAAUCCCCCAACCGGGGACAAGGAGCAGGCAUCAGGCACACCAUCUUAAUGUUAGCCCAAGACGCCUUGCUACGCCACACCCCCAAGGGAACUCAGCAGUAAUAAAUAUUAAGCUAUAAGUGAAAACUUGACUUAGUUAGAGCUAAGAGGGUCGGUAAAAUUCGUGCCAGCCACCGCGGUUAUACGAAAGACCCUAGUUGAUAUUCACGGCGUAAAGGGUGGUUAAGGAAAAAUACAAAUAAAGCUAAAGAGUCCCUAAGCCGUCGUACGCACUCCGAGAACUCGAAACCCAAAAACGAAAGUAGCUUUAAAACACAUUCACCUGACCCCACGAAAGCUAAGAAACAAACUGGGAUUAGAUACCCCACUAUGCUUAGCCCUAAACCAAGAUGUAAAUUUACACACACAUCCGCCCGGGUACUACGAGCACAGCUUAAAACCCAAAGGACUUGGCGGUGUCUCAGACCCACCUAGAGGGGCCUGUUCUAGAACCGAUAAACCCCGUUAAACCUCACCAUUUCUUGGUUUUCCCGCCUAUAUACCGCCGUCGUCAGCUUACCCCGUGAAGG
rnacentral:rRNA from 1 species